rnacentral:rRNA from 1 species
UACAGAGGUCUCAAGCGUUGUUCGGAUUCAUUGGGCGUAAAGGGCGCGUAGGCGGCGGGUCAAGUCGAGUGUGAAAGCCCCGGGCUCAACCUGGGAAUUGCGCUCGAGACUGGUCUGCUUGAGUUCGGGAGAGGAGAGUGGAAUUCCCAGUGUAGAGGUGAAAUUCGUAGAUAUUGGGAAGAACACCGGUGGCGAAGGCGGCUCUCUGGACCGAGACUGACGCUGAGGCGCGAAAGCGUGGGGAGCAAACAGG